UCCCCGAUAGCUCCGCUGGUAGAGCAGGUGGCUGUUAACCACCGGGCCGCAGGUUCGAGUCCUGCUCGGGGAG
rnacentral:tRNA from 1 species